CUAGGAGUGGCCGGGCAGAGGUGAAGUGCUUCAGGUGCUGCGGUGGUCUUGGGACAGGCUGAUUUGAUACAAGGAGGAAUGGGAACCGGAAAGAAGAGACAUCGCUUCCAGUGUUGACCGGAAUGGGGAAAGAGCACUGCUGUGAACUCUGUUGGGUGGAGCCACUUGGGUGAAAUGGGCAAAUGAAGUCUGCAUUUGAAUAAGUCUUAGGCGGUGUCCUUAUUUAACCUGGAUGCAAAAAAAAGGAGACAAAAAUGCGCAACUCAAGAAGAAACAUGACACACAUCCUUCAUUAUUAACAUCAUGAAAAAACUCAUCUAAAGGGUAUCCCUGGGAUUGAUGGCUGCCUACUUGAAUAAUCUCUUCGAUGAAUACUAUUCACAUCUCAUGGCUCUCACUAGGAAGCACUAGCAGCCCAGCACAGAGUUCUGCUUUCACUUAACUUGUAAGAGAGUGAAGAGGCCUUGCCAAGGUUCAGAAAAGGAUAACAAAGCAUAAGCUCUUUAAUGGGGUGUAAUAACAUAAAAGUCUAAGUGCACCGAAGCCCUUUCCCACAAGCAAGACCUGAUUGCGGGGCUGGCAUUCGGGCUGACGACGACCAUCACACAUGGGGAAACAGCACUACGGAGAAACAAAAGUAAUUCCACUGAAAUGAGCCAAGUAUGGGCUUUGGGGAAAAUAAGGAUCUGCCUGUUAAGCUUUGCUAAGAUCAGGAUCUCUGUGAUUUAUAGUAUUUUCCAUGGAACUGGGUUUAUUUUUAUGGAAGAAAAUUGUAGGAUCUAGAAAACAUUUAGUUUAGUGAAGCCCUGUUUGAAUUCUUUAAGCAAGCUGAAAUACUCUUUU